rnacentral:rRNA from 1 species
UGGGGAAUCUUGGACAAUGGGCGCAAGCCUGAUCCAGCCAUGCCGCGUGGAUGAUGAAGGCCCUAGGGUUGUAAAAUCCUUUUCGUCAGGGACGAUAAUGACGGUACCUGAAGAAGAAGCCCCGGCUAACUUCGUGCCAGCAGCCGCGGUAAUACGAAGGGGGCUAGCGUUGUUCGGAAUUACUGGGCGUAAAGCGCAUGUAGGCGGGUCGUUAAGUCGGGGGUGAAAGCCCAGAGCUCAACUCUGGAACUGCCUUCGAUACUGGCGACCUGGACCCAAGGAGAGGCGAGUGGAAUUGCGAGUGUAGAGGUGAAAUUCGUAGAUAUUAGGAAGAACACCAGUGGCGAAGGCGGCCAACUGGCUCGAUACUGACGCUGAGGUGCGAAAGCGUGGGGAGCAAACAGGAUUAGAUACCCCAGUAGUCCCUGAGCGGGCUGGCAAGGCGCAU